GCGCGGGUAGCUCAAGUGGUAGAGCUUUUCGAUUGCAGCUCGAAGGUCACUGGUUUCGAACCCGGUCUCGCGCU
rnacentral:tRNA from 1 species